AGGUCGCUGAUUGGCUGCACCUUGCUCAAGCUGUUUUCGCUCCGGGACGAUCACACUUUUUCACAGCUCAGAUUGGCAUGUUGGUGAACUUAUUAGCUUAGAUUUCACGUUAUUCAUGCCUACAUGAGCUGCAUACAACUGCUCUAAUCGGUAGGAUGUGGACGGACAUUGCAUUCAUUCCCAUUCAGCCGUUGGACUGAACCUGUACUGUCUGUAACACAGUAUGGAUGGUCAAUAUGAAGCGAGCUUCAUUGAAUUCCUCCAAGAGCUCUGUACUCCGUUCUGACCAUUUUGAAGAUGGUUGCUUUGACAGGACUGGGCAAGUGACUCGUCUUAGACAGGAUGCUGUCCCAACCAUGUUUGAUUUCCUGCCUCGUCUUCAGAAGAAUUCACCCAAGCCAAGGAAUUCCCCGAAAGAAAGACGUUUUGAUUCAGCAAACAACCUCCCAGAUACUGCAAAGUCUUCAGCACCUUCAUUUCUCGAGGACCACUCCUACUCAAUAUCAGAAAGUCCAAGAGAGGUAAAGUGGAAGAUAACAGCAAUAAUGGACUGUUUUAAGAACUUGGAGAAGAGGCUGAAAACCACACACGAGAAGUCCCGCCGUGUACAUUACUUGCUCUUAAGUUUGGACAAACAUAACUUGCAAAACUUUACAACAAAUAAUUACCCCAAUGUGCAUUCUGAUUAUUUAAAAUAGCUCAAUGAAAUAGUUUAUCAGUGGGCAUGUAACAAAAGUGAAUUCAUUAAAUUUGAACGUGUUGCAAAAAUGAUGUCUUACAGUAUAUUCAUUCUGACUUAGAAUGUCAGAAGAGAAAAAAGUUUGUGAAAAGUAGGAAUGACGGCAAGAUGACAGAAGAAUAGAACAGGAUAGAUCAAGGGGGACAGAUAAAGGACAAGUCCACCCCAAAAAUUGUUGAUAUGAAUAAAAAGAGAAAAAUCCAACAAGCAUAACACUGAAAAUUUGAUAAAAAAUCGGAUGUAAAAUAAGAAAGUUAUGACAUUUAAAAAUUUUGCUAAAUUUUACAAAAGAGUUAUAUGCACAUUCUGUACACAGUCAGUAUGCAAAUGAGGAGACUGAUGACGUCAUCCACUCACUAUUUCAUUUGAUAUAUAGAAUAAGGUAUAUUCUAAUUUUCUCCUUGUCAUGUUAAACAAAAUUUUAUUCCUCCCUGAUCAUGUGGAAUUAGCAUUAUUCAAUACUUUUUUGGUUCAGUAAAGUUUGUCCUUAUGGUAAAAUCUGUAAAAAAUGAAAUAUUGUAUAAUUCAAACAAUAAAAAACAAAAUAAACAGUGAGUGAGGGACAUUAUCUACUGUCUCAUUUGCAUGUCACUGAGUUGUAAAUAUUUUUGUUUUGUGAAAAAUAAGUGAAAAUUUAAAAUGCCAUAACUUUCUUAGUUUACAUCCCAUUUUGAUGAAAUUUUCAGCGUUAUGCUAGUUUGAUUUUUCUCAAUUUAACUGAACCAACAAUUUUCUUGGGUAAACUUGACCUUUACUAAUGAGCUGUUGGAUAGAGACAAAAAGAUGAAUUGAGAUUGAGGGUGAUAGAGAAAGAGAGACAGGUGUGGGGGAGCCUUUGAUGAAUGCCUGAGAAAGCGAACAUUACCAUAAUUUUUUUUUGAGGAUUUGGACAGUAAUGAAUAGUACAUGUUUUUUCUGUUGGUAUUUCUCAAAAUAUGUGUAUGUUGUAUGUAAUGAAAUGGGUAUAAUCCUUUUGUAAGAUACACUCAUUCAGAAAAUAUUAACUAAACAAAAAAAAAAGCCAAAUUAUAUUUUACUUAUUUUCAACUGUUCAGACACUCUCAUAUCAAAAGUACCCCCCCCCCCCCUCAUUUCAAGGUAUUGGAGAGAGAGAGAGGUUGGAUGAGAAAUGGAUUGGCUGUCUGCAGAAAAAAAUGCAGGGGGAGCAAAACAUUUUUAGGAUAUGUUCAAGGGAGCGAAGCGACCGAGCAGAAAAAUUAUUCUGGGGAUAUAUGUGAGAGAGCAAAGUGACGAGAAGAACAAAUGCAGGGGCCAAAAUAUUUCGAGAAUAUGUGAGAGGGAGCAAAGUGACCAAGCAGAAGUAAAAGGAAAGAGGGACAAAAAUUGUGGUAUGUGUGAGGGAGCAAAGCAUCCGAUAAAAAAAAACAGAAAGCAGGUCAAUCAAAAUAUUUUUCGAAUUUGUGCUGGUGCGCGACACGUUCACUCCCGAGCGAUAGGGACUUGUUUAAAAAUGGCAUAGGAAAUAUGCGUUUUCUAUAAUCAUGGUAAACUGAUAAUAUGGUAGAAUUUAGGUGUUGUAAGAGUUAAAUUCUGAAUGAACUGUAUUGGCUGGUUAGACAUGCGCAGAGGAUUAUUUGUCUUUAUCCAUUUUUAUUUUCACAUUUUUCUUUUGUUUGAAUUUAUUUUCCAGGGGGUAAGCCCCCCCUCCCCCCAUUCCUGUGGAUACCAAUGGGGCGGGGGCUUGGAAUAGUGCAAGUUAGAGAGGGUGAAUCUGAACUUUAUAGAUAUCAAAAGAGAAAGAAAGAAUUGUAAAAUGAAAAUGAAUAAAAACAAAGAUAGAGAGGGGGAGAGUGAGAAAGCAGGUGAACUUUCG